CCUACGGUGGGCAGCAGUGGGGAAUAUUGGACAAUGGGCGAAAGCCCGAUCCAGCCAUGCCGCGUGUGUGAAGAAGGCCUUCGGGUUGUAAAGCACUUUCAGUGGGGAAGAAAGCCUUGGGGCUAAUACCCUCGAGGAAGGACAUCACCCACAGAAGAAGCACCGGCUAACUCCGUGCCAGCAGCCGCGGUAAUACGGAGGGUGCGAGCGUUAAUCGGAAUUACUGGGCGUAAAGCGCGCGUAGGCGGUCUGAUAAGCCGGUUGUGAAAGCCCCGGGCUCAACCUGGGAACGGCAUCCGGAACUGUCAGGCUAGAGUGCAGGAGAGGAAGGUAGAAUUCCCGGUGUAGCGGUGAAAUGCGUAGAGAUCGGGAGGAAUACCAGUGGCGAAGGCGGCCUUCUGGACUGACACUGACGCUGAGGUGCGAAAGCGUGGGUAGCAAACAGGAUUAGAUACCCGUGUAGUC
rnacentral:rRNA from 1 species